GUCGGUAAAACUCGUGCCAGCCACCGCGGUUAUACGAGAGGCCCAAGUUGACAAACUCCGGCGUAAAGCGUGGUUAAGGCAUACUCUAAAACUAAAGCCGAAUAUCUUCAGAGCAGUCAUACGCAUCCGAAGACACGAAGCCCCACCACGAAAGUGGCUUUAUGACCCCUGACCCCACGAAAGCUAGGACACAAACUGGGAUUAGAUACCCCACUAUG
rnacentral:rRNA from 1 species